GCACUGCCCACAGGAUCUGAGGUGGAGAUGUCAGCCAGACUCCUGACCUGAUGGGUCUCCUUGUCCUCCUCUUUCAGGCCAGGAGCUGAGUCAGAAGGAAAUACUUAAUGAGAACAUACCCAUUGUGGGCAUGGUUCAAGGGCCUAUUGAGAUCUGAGGUACUGGGGGAGUAGAGCUGAGGAAGGAGAAGUCCCAAGUAAGGAACACAAAGAAGGGGUGCUUGAGAUAUGCCUUAGGGGCCUCUCAUUCUGGAGGUUAGGGAAUGGCCUCUUUAUGUCUUUAUCUGGUUGUGAAUAUGCUUACUUUCCCCUUUACCACCAGCUCCCAACCCUCCCCCACUGCAUUUCUUCUCCUUCACCUGCUCCCCCUGUACCCAGGCUGCUCAGACUAUGCAGAAACCCUACUGGGUAAUCUGUGCCCACCUCCCUACCCAACCUCACUCAUGUCAUUGGAGACCUUGCUCCUGGCUCUCAUCACUUGUUCCCCGAAGGUGCCUCAGCCCAGCCUGCUAGACCUCUCCACAUACCUGCAACCCUGUGACCACCCCUGCAGGCUGGCUGAGCCCCACCCCAAGCUCUGCGCUCAGGAGCUAAGGAACUUAGGGUCAGCCCUGAUGUGACACAAUGCCAGCUGAUCCUUGCUGAAAGCCUUGCUUGGACCCUGAGAGUCAGUUUUGUGAGAAGGUUUCUGUCAUCCCAACAACAUGCUUAACUUCUGUCUGUGGGACUCAGGGUUGGUUUCUCUGGGUCUGAGGAUCUGCCUUGGGAACCCGGGCAGUCCUUCUAGACCCUCUGAGAGUUGAGUCUUGCGGUGUUCUUAGAGAUUCACCAUUCCCACUACCCAACCCACUCCAAUCCAGGAACUGGAGACGCUGUGGCCCCAAUCUUGCUGCAUAUGUCCUGAUCUCCUGGAGUUUUUUAAAUCACCCACAUCCUCCCUGGAUACUGUGCUCUACCUGCCUGCCUGAACAUCCAUCCUCUACAGCUGCUGGGGUCCCCAGCACCUGCCCCACUGCAGAGACAGAAGUUCCCCCAAGGAAUGACUCAGAACUCUGGGAACUCCAGGCCAUGUGGGCAGAAGGGUGAUGUCCUGCCACAUCAUGGGAAAGAUUACUUGGACUUGCAGAUUCAUCACUUCUCCAGGGUGAAGUAAAAGGUCAUCGAAUCCAGCUGCCAACCAGAUGCUAGAGCCCCCUGGGCAAAAUCCCAAUGAGAAAACUGAGGCUCAAAGAGGUGAAGUGACCGGAAGCGAACUGUCUGACUCCAUUUCAUCCCAAGGGCCUGAACCCAUAGACCACGAUCAGCAUCACAGGCAGUAGGAGCAAGGCCAGCACCCCCACGAGCACAGCAGGAUAGAAGUCCUGGUGCCUGCGGAGACAGGACAGAGUGCGGAGGAGGUACAUUGGAUUUUGUUGUCUGCAACUGAACCUUGACUAAUGCAAGUCCCAAGGAAAUAGAUGCCACAUUCCAGAGUGAGCUGGGAGACCAGUGUAACACACGCAAAAAGGAAAAUAUCAAUAGAUAUGCUGAGCUGAACAGCUUCUGGAUCCAGUGCUUCUCAGAAGACUCUCACCACGGUACCAGGAUGACAUGAAUUCCCUUCAUCACCUUCUAAUGGACUCAACUGGAUGAUCAGAGAUAA